ACGUAGGGGGCAAGCGUUAUCCGGAUUUACUGGGUGUAAAGGGAGCGCAGACGGCAAUGCAAGUCUGAAGUGAAAGGCGUGGGCUCAACCCAUGAACUGCUUUGGAAACUGUAUAGCUUGAGUGUCGGAGGGGUAAGCGGAAUUCCUAGUGUAGCGGUGAAAUGCGUAGAUAUUAGGAGGAACACCGGAGGCGAAGGCGGCUUACUGGACGACAACUGACGUUGAGGCUCGAAGGCGUGGGGAGCAAACAGG
rnacentral:rRNA from 1 species